ACCUAUGGUUAGAAUUUUAAUUAAUUAUUCGUUCUUAACCAAAAACAAAAAGAAAAAGUGAAAAAAUUAGAAAUGACUCUCUUCUUUAACCUCCCACUAUUUCCGCCUUUCCAGUUUCCCACGCAUGAGAGCACUCGCAAUUUGCAACUUCCAGACUCAAUUUUUUCCUCAAAAAUUCCCAAAUUCACUCAAUUUACAAUUUCUCAAAUAAAAAAUUCAAGAGUACCCUUCGAUCGAAAUCUACGGGGUUUUGGUUUUCGGCUUCUUCUCCAGAGAUCGAUUUUUGUCAGCGAUUUUUACUUCUUCUCAAACUCAAGUUGUGGCUGAAUUAUCAAUUGUUAUAACCCUAUGUGAAGAUCACUUUCACCAAGCAAGAGUUUAAGCAGCUUUUGUAGAUUCAAAUAGAUUGCAAAUUUAAUUUUGGAAUACUGGAUGUUAUGUCAUGAGAUACAUGAAAGAGAUCAUCGACCAUAAGCAAACUCGAAUAUGUGAAGAUUACUUUCAUGAUUGCAAUAUUCUGAAUUAUGAUCAAGGACAAAUUGAUGAAGUCAGAGCUCAAUGGACGCGUUAUGUUCUUCUCGUGUGAAUAUUGUGGUGGAUUAAUUAUGUUUUUGGACUGAAAUUUCUCUAGAACGUUUUAAUUUUAGUUUAUUGGUUUGAAAUUUAAAGAAGUACUAUAUGACAAGGAUACUUCUUUCUGUUUUCUAGUGUGUUUUUAUUCUACUGUGUAUUUAGACACAUAUGAUUUUAAGUUAUGCAUGAGACAUAGAGACGUUUAUUUGAUAUGAUAGAAAUGUAGUUGGAUCUUA